GAGUUUGAUCGUGGCUCAGGAUGAACGCUGGCGGCGUGCUUAACACAUGCAAGUCGAACGGAGUAUGAAUUUGGAUUUCUCACGAUUGAAGAGUUCAUACUUAGUGGCGGACGGGUGAGUAACGCGUGGAUAACCUGCCCCAUACCGGGGGAUAACAGCCGGAAACGGCUGCUAAUACCGCAUAAGCGCACGGGACUGCAUGGCCCUGUGUGAAAAACUCCGGUGGUAUGGGAUGGAUCCGCGUCUGAUUAGCUAGUUGGUGAGAUAAAAGCCCACCAAGGCGACGAUCAGUAGCCGACCUGAGAGGGUGGCCGGCCACAUUGGGACUGAGACACGGCCCAGACUCCUACGGGAGGCAGCAGUGGGGAAUAUUGCACAAUGGGGGAAACCCUGAUGCAGCGACGCCGCGUGAGUGAGGAAGUAAUUCGUUAUGUAAAGCUCUAUCAGCAGGGAAGAAACAGACGGUACCUGAGUAAGAAGCCCCGGCUAACUACGUGCCAGCCGCCGCAGUAACACC
rnacentral:rRNA from 1 species